CUACCCACAAGGCAUAAAACCACCAUGAUCAGUGCAACACACUCCUUUGCCAGAAUUCUGCAGAAACGGUUCACUCCAGAACAGAGUCUGAAGAAGAGGAAGAAGCCAUAGCCCUGAGCGAAGGAGGAGAGGAAGGCAAAGACACAGUGGAUGCCCAGUGCAGUGACCAGACACUGCCGACGUCCAAUCUUGUCUGCCAGACCGCCCCACACAAAUGCCCCCACCAUCAUUCCGACAUACACUAUCAAACCUGCAAUAGAGAAAAAGGCCUGUCAGAGCACUGAACAAGAGCACUAUUGGCAUGACAGAGGCCAUACAAUGCUGACAUCAGAGGGGCGGAGCAUAGGACUGUCAAGAAAAAAGGAGAGGACUUCCCGCGAAUGGGGGAGCAUAUGGAAACCAGCCCCGAUCCCCCUGCCAACAUAGUGAGGCUGCCACUUCUGUGAUUGGACAGAUUCAGUCACCCUCCUCAUGGACCCCAUCCACACCUCUGCCAAGGCAGAGGGGACACUUCUCCUGUGACUUUGUCCUCAUGGCGAGAGUGGCGGAAAGUGAGUUUUACGGCAGGCACAGAGAAAUCUGCAGCAAUCUGCUGUCGUCAUGACAGAUGAGGGGCUGCAAUUUAAUCCUGCUUAAGACCGCGGAAAUUUCAUUCUGUGCACAGCCCCAAAGCUUUGGAUUACCAUUUCACGAGAGAGAACAAAAUCAUGAUUCUAUGCAAACGCAUCCUUUCUUUUGAUAAUUAUUUUUAUUUUUUUGGGACGGAGGGAUGGAGCAGGGGCACAGAGGGUUCUAGAAGAGGAUGGACAGUUUCCAACUGUUGCUUAUCAACAGUUUAGCCUUGCUAAAAUCAGCAGUGACAGCUAACAGGAGCCACAGCUGUUAUUACUGGGCAUAUGGAAGAAAGGUGGCUGUCAGCCCUAAUGAAGCCCCUCUGCUGCUCACCCUUACUGCAUAUUGAGGGCUUAAAAGGAUUUGUUUGUGCAAAGAGAGCACGGACAAGAGAACACAAACUACAAGGUGAAAAUACAAGCAGCAUAACAAUUACAAUGCAACGUAUUUCAAAUGAGCCCACAGGUUCAUUUUCCAAUCUGUCACAACCAUUUACUGAAAAAUCAACUAAGACUGCACAGAAUAGAUUACAAAAAUAUAGCAACACUACUGACAGAAAUUAUAAUUUGGCUGCAAAACUGACCUGAUUCAGUACAAUAUCAAUGUAUAUCUGCUAAUACUGCAUGGCUUGUAUUAGUAGAUAUGCAUUGAUAGUUAAAUGGAUAAGCUCUGUUUUGCAGGUAACUUACACUUUCUGAAUAUGGUGUUGCUUUUUUAAAUGUAAAUGCACACAUAUGUGACAGAUAGAUUUUAGAUGCAACAGUGCUGCCAGGAUGCUGAUGUCUGCAUUCGUAACUAGUAACAGAAAAUGAAAAUGGAUAAACGAAUUGCUUCUCAGAUGAUUUGCGGGGAUUUGCAGGAGGACCACUCUUGCGGAGGUUAAGAGAAGAAGCCUCUUCUCCUGGGCUAUAGAGUUCACCUUCAGCAUCAUGCUCUAGCUCUGGAAACAUGGGCAGCUGGGAAUUAUGUAACACCUGCCUUUGUCUUUGGGUUCACCUUUCAUUUAUUUAUUUACUUCUUUUUUAGACCAGGGCUUCAUAGUAAGUGCUGAAGGGUAUCACAGAGGGCAAAGACCAUGGACUGUUAAAAGGCAUGCCUUCUCACAACUUAU